rnacentral:rRNA from 1 species
GCGUGCCUAACACUUGCAAGUCGAGCGAUUUACUUCGGUAAAGAGCGGCGGACGGGUGAGUAACGCGUGGGUAACCUGCCCUGUACACACGGAUAACACACCGAAAGGUAUGCUAAUACGGGAUAAUGUACUUUUGUCGCAUGGCAAAAGUAUCAAAGCUCCGGCGGUACAGGAUGGACCCGCAUCUGAUUAGCUAGUUGGAGAGGUAAUGGCUCACCAAGGCGACGAUCAGUAGCCGACCUGAGAGGGUGAUCGGCCACAUUGGGACUGAGACACGGUCCAAACUCCUACGGGAGGCAGCAGUGGGGAAUAUUGCACAAUGGGCGAAAGCCUGAUGCAGCAACGCCGCGUGAGCGAUGAAGGCCUUCGGGUCGUAAAGUUCUGUCCUCAAGGAAGAUAAUGACGGUACCUGAGGAGGAAGCCCCGGCUAACUACGUGCCAGCAGCCGCGGUAAUACGUAGGGGGCUAGCGUUAUCCGGAAUUACUGGGCGUAAAGGGUGCGUAGGUGGUUUCUUAAGUCAGAGGUGAAAGGCUACGGCUCAACCGUAGUAAGCCUUUGAACUGAGAACUUGAGUGCAGGAGAGGAGA